rnacentral:misc_RNA from 1 species
AAGUCGUAACAAGGUUUCCGUAGGUGAACCUGCGGAAGGAUCAUUAAAGAAUUAGGCUUCGCGGCCAAGUUCUCACCCUUUGUAUACCGAAACCAUGUUGCUUGCAGGCCAGCCAUUCUUCGGCCGCGCCAGAGGUUAUAAACCCUAGAAUCUCUGCUGUCUGAGUACUAUACAAUAGUUAAAA